UGUGACUUAAGCACGCUUUACUCACUGGGUGCGAGAAAUUCAAAGCAAGAUGAGAAGAGAAAGAAAAGUGAAACUCGUAGACACAUAAAACGAGGAGGAGCACAGGAAUGAGGAAAGCGUGUAAAUAAGCACCUGUAUCUCAUGAUGCCCUCCUGUAACUCUGUUAGCCGACUAACAUCCUUCAAGGCUUUCCUGAUUCUGGUAUCCAGCUUUCUUCUUCUUCAUGACGGGCAUUCUUGAUAUUCAGGAUUUCUGCUGAGGGGGCUCAGUGACUAAUUUGCUGGACCUGGAUGCCCAAGGCUCUUUCAUAACCACGACACUGCUUCAGCGACAGGCAGGAUUCACAUGUUUGCAUCAUCCUUGCACACUACUGUGUCACUGUUUCCUGAUAGGGAGGUACAUUUAGCAUUGCUUUCAUAUCCUCCUGAGAACCAGCUUGUUCAUUUAUUUCCUCUGCAAUGGACAUUUGUUUUUAGUCUAUGUCUUUUGACUCAUUUGAGAUAUCUUACUAUCUCCUGAUCUACUAAAUAGAGGCCAUCCCGGGAUUUCCAUUGAUGCCUGAUGUGUUUGGGUGGUUUCUUAUAGCUUCAAAGAGGAAGGAAAUCAUAAAAAAAGUUCAAUGGAAAGAUUCUUUUGUACUCGGUUCUGAGGACGAUAUAUCCACAUGAGUCAUUGUAUGGAAGUUCAUUCAAUCCAUCAUAUUAAGCCUUUUAUAUUAUUUUCUGAUUUUUUGAUGCUGAUUUUCUACAAAGUGAAACUUCAUAAGUCUGUACAGGUUUUGCUUUGUGUAGCCACAUGUGGAGUUUCUGUGCAUUGUAGGCAUGUUAAUGAUUAAAUGCUGCACAUCUUUCUUUGCUCAUUGUCCAUUAAAUGUUGGCUGCCUCACCUGCUUGGCUGUCUGAAUCCCACACGUCACGCCACAAAUCACGCUUGUUUUCUCAUGAGUAAUUAGUUUUGGCUGUCACUGUCACUUGUUACUGUCAUUACUGCAGUCCAAUCAUCUUCUUGCCUGCCUUCUUCGAACCAUCAGCCUUCGUGUCGCAUGGUUUAAAUCUGUGCUCUCCAUCAUUUUCAUGGAUUGUAGUUGCAGGGCUUCUCCUUCAUCUACAUAAUCUGGACUGGACAGGUGACUAAUGAUGUCAUUUAUAUCUGUAGUGUGUGCUACAGCCCUGAGCAUCAUUUGAGAAAUGUUGAUACUGAACAGCAUAAGCAGUUUAGUUACUCAGAUAUCAGUAAAGUCUGUGAUGCUCUGUGUUUAAUGUAUAACCCCAAUUUAAAAAAAAUGUUGACAGACUAUGUAAAAUGUAAAUAAAAACAGACUGCGAUGAUUUUCCCACAUUUUAUGCUCAGCAAAACACAGAAAACACAUCAGAUGUGUAAACUGAGAAAAACUGAUAGUUUUGAGUAAAGAGCAUCAUGACUGUCUCAAAAAUGUUGGUACAGAGUCGUGUUUGCCACUGUGAAACAUUCCCUCAUCUUUUAACAAGUCUGUAAACAUGUGACAAGAGUAGCUGCUAGAUUUUUUUUGUGAUAUUGGAUUCUAACUGUUCAUUUGUCAUUGUGGCUGUAAUAGCUGCAGCAUGCAGUUUAGUAUACUGUAACAUAAAAGGCCUUCCCUGAAAAAUAUGCUGCUGUAAUAACUGUAUAUAUUUUUCAGCAUUGCUGGGGCCUUUCCACCUACUAGAACUUGUGCUUUUAUAGAAGUACCAUCUCUUUUGAAAAGCAAAAUAUUUUAUAGAAGGUACACAAACGUGUCUGAUAAGUAGUUAAAUAUUUCAGUGAAAAAUACAGUUUUAUAAUUAGCAAAACAUCACAACACAAAACUCAAUGUGCUUUAUUUCAGAGAUGUAUUUAUUUGAAUUGCAACAUCAUCUUCCUCUGCUGCUUCUGUCUACUGAGGAGAUGAGAAUCUGCCAAAGAACAGGAUGGACUUGGUCUUAUUGUGUCUGAUGAAGAAGAGGAAGGGGUGAUCUGCUCUGAAGUGUGUGUCCGGUAUAUAACAACAAGCGGUGAUCACAGCACCUGUGGCUGCAGCGGCCUCUGUGCCCUCCUCAUUCACCUCCACAAAGGCCUUGUGGGCCACCGUAGACAGGAAGAGCCCCCCUUCA